AUUGAACGCUGGCGGUAUGCUUAACACAUGCAAGUCGAACGGUAACAUAGCUAGCUUGCUAGCUGAUGACGAGUGGCGGACGGGUGAGUAACGCGUAGGGAUCUACCUUCUGGUGGGGGAUAGCCCGGUGAAAACCGGAUUAAUACCGCAUAAGACCUAAGGGUGAAAAGGGGCCAAUUCUUGAAAGCUCUUGCCGGAAGAUGAACCUGCGUUAGAUUAGCUUGUUGGUAGGGUAAUGGCCUACCAAGGCGACGAUCUAUAGCUGGUCUGAGAGGAUGAUCAGCCACACUGGAACUGAGACACGGUCCAG
rnacentral:rRNA from 1 species